rnacentral:rRNA from 1 species
AAUCAACGCUGGCGGCGUGCCUCAGACAUGCAAGUCGAACGAUUAAGACUUCCUUCGGGAAGUGCAUAAAGUGGCGCACGGGUGAGUAACACGUAAGUAAUCUACCUUCGAGUGGGGAAUAACGUUCGGAAACGAACGCUAAUACCGCAUAAUGCAGCGGCAUCGCAAGAUGACAGUUGUUAAAGGAAUUUAUUUCGCUUGAAGAGGAGCUUGCGGCAGAUUAGCUAGUUGGUAAGGUAACGGCUUACCAAGGCUACGGUCUGUAUCCGGUCUAAGAGGACGGUCGGACACACUGACACUGAAUAACGGGUCAGACUCCUACGGGAGGCAGCAGUCGGGAAUUUUGGGCAAUGGGCGAAAGCCUGACCCAGCAACGCCGCGUGAAGGAUGAAGUAUUUCGGUAUGUAAAGCACUUUAGUUGGGGAGGAAGAAUCCAGAGAUGAAUAAGCUAUGGAAAUGACGUUACCCAAAGAAUAAGACACCGGCUAACUCUAGUGCCAGCAGCCGCGGUAAU